rnacentral:rRNA from 1 species
GACGAACGUUGGCGGCGUGCUUAACACAUGCAAGUCGAACGGAAAGGCCUUUUCGGCGGUACUCGAGUGGCGAACGGGUGAGUAACACGUGGGUGAUCUGCCCUGCACUCUGGGAUAAGCCUGGGAAACUGGGUCUAAUACCGGAUAGGACCGCACUUUAGUGUGUGUGGUGGAAAGUUUUUUCGGUGUAGGAUGAGCCCGCGGCCUAUCAGCUUGUUGGUGGGGUAAUGGCCUACCAAGGCGGCGACGGGUAGCCGGACUGAGAGGUUGGUCGGCCACAUUGGGACUGAGAUACGGCCCAGACUCCUACGGGAGGCAGCAGUGGGGAAUAUUGCACAAUGGGCGCAAGCCUGAUGCAGCGACGCCGCGUGGGGGAGGACGGCCUUCGGGUUGUAAACUCCUUUCGCCAGGGACGAAGCGUUUUGUGACGGUACCUGGAGAAGAAGCACCGGCUAACUACGUG